GUAACAAACCCGACUUGGAUCUGAUAAAUUUCCAGUUAUAAUAAUUUAAACCGGCUUGACUGGUUUGAGAAUUGUAUACCGAUUGUUUUUGUCGAAUUGAACAAAGUGGCGUUAAAUGGCGCCGAAUUUUCGGCGAAUAACUUUUGACAUUGUUCGUGUGCAUUAAACCUGACAGUACAGGGACAUUUAUUUAAUCGCAAAAAUCCCCCGAAAUAAAUCAAUCAGGGCGACGCAACGAUUCGGCUCGUGUAAUUGUCAUGGCUCUUUAUUGAACAUCGCAUCCCAACUAAUCCGGUAUGUUUUACAUUAAUCCGAAUGACGCAAUCAACUGGAUCACAAACAAAGUUAGUAAUGUUGGAAGAAAUCAGUGAUUUUAAAAUGAUUUAAUGAAAUUGGUAGUCAAUAAAUUUGGAGUAAGCAAACAAAACACAGUAGAAAAUAAAUAAAAAGAGACUGUUUGUCGAAAAUUGCAAUAAUAAAAACAGUGUCAACGCAUUUCACUUUUGAUUCGUUUCCAAUUUGAACCGUUGAUAUCGUUGUUUAAAUUCAUCAGUCCGUAAAAAUGCGAA